rnacentral:rRNA from 1 species
GAUGAACGCUGGCGGCGUGCUUAACACAUGCAAGUCGAACGGAAAGGCUCCUGCUUGCUGGGGUACUCGAGUGGCGAACGGGUGAGUAACACGUGGGUGAUCUGCCCUGCACUUCGGGAUAAGCCUGGGAAACUGGGUCUAAUACCGGAUAGGACGAUGGCUUGGAUGCCAUUGUGGAAAGUUUUUCGGUGUGGGAUGAGCUCGCGGCCUAUCAGCUUGUUGGUGGGGUAAUGGCCUACCAAGGCGUCGACGGGUAGCCGGCCUGAGAGGGUGUACGGCCACAUUGGGACUGAGAUACGGCCCAGACUCCUACGGGAGGCAGCAGUGGGGAAUAUUGCACAAUGGGCGCAAGCCUGAUGCAGCGACGCCGCGUGGGGGAUGACGGCCUUCGGGUUGUAAACUCCUUUCGCUAGGGACGAAGCGCAAGUGACGGUACCUGGAGAAGAAGCACCGGCUAACUACGUG